rnacentral:rRNA from 1 species
CACGUAGGAGGCGAGCGUUGUCCGGAAUCAUUGGGCGUAAAGAGCGCGCAGGCGGCUUGGCAAGUCGGGUGUGAAAUCCCGGGGCUCAACCCCGUGACUGCAUCCGAUACUGUCAGGCUAGAGGUAGGUAGGGGAGAUCGGAAUUCCUGGUGUAGCGGUGAAAUGCGCAGAUAUCAGGAGGAACACCGGUGGCGAAGGCGGAUCUCUGGGCCGAUACUGACGCUCAGGCGCGACAGCGUGGGGAUCAAACAGG